CUUGAGAAUGUCUAAGACUGAAAAUGAGGAGUCAGUCAUCUUGAUUUGUCUAAAAUCUCCUGACUUGUAUCUCUGCGGCAGUCUCCUCACACAAACUCCAUCCCUCCUACAUACUGGUGAUUCAUAAAGCAGAAGCAAUCAAGUCACUACCUACUCAGGAGGCUGCUAGCAUCUUAGCCCAGGAAUCAAGGCUUUUAAAAUACAGCCAAAUCACAUCUUCAGUAAUCGUUACAACAGUUAUAGCAAUUGCUUACACAAUGUUCCUAUU
rnacentral:lncRNA from 10 species